rnacentral:rRNA from 1 species
AUUGAACGCUGGCGGCAGGCCUAACACAUGCAAGUCGAGCGAGCGGCGGACGGGUGAGUAAUGUCUGGGAAACUGCCUGAUGGAGGGGGAUAACUACUGGAAACGGUAUCUAAUACAGCAUACCAUCAGAUGUGCCCAGAUGGGAUUGGCUAGUAGGUGGGGUAACGGCUCACAUAGGCGACGAUCCCUAGCGGUUCUGAGAGGAUGACCAGCCAGACUGGAACUGAGACACGGUCCAGACUCCUACGGGAGGCAGCAGUGGGGAAUAUUGCACAAUGGGCGCAAGCCGGAUGCAGCCAUGCCGCGUGUGUGAAGAAGGCCUUCGGGUUUUAAAGCACUUUCAGCGGGGAGGCGUUACCCGCAGAAGAAGCACCGGCUAACUCCGUGCCAGCAGCCGCGGUAAUAC